rnacentral:tRNA from 1 species
GGGGAGAUGCCGGAGUGGUCAAACGGGCUACGCUUAGGACGUAGUGGCUUUCGCCUACAGGGGUUCGAAUCCUCUUCUCCCCA